rnacentral:rRNA from 1 species
UGCUUUAUACAUGCAAGUCGAACGGAGGCCCUAGCNUGCUAGGUGUCCUUAGUGGCGCACGGGUGAGUAACACGUGGGAACAUACCUUAUAGUACGGAAUAACUGCGGGAAACUGUAGCUAAUACCGUAUACUCCAGUAAUGGGAAAGAUUUAUCGCUAUAAGAUUGGCCCGCGCAAGAUUAGCUUGUUGGUGAGGUAAAAGCUCACCAAGGCUUCGAUCUUUAGCUGGUUUGAGAGGACGAUCAGCCACACUGGGACUGAGACACGGCCCAGACUCCUACGGGAGGCAGCAGUAGGGAAUAUUGGACAAUGGGGGCAACCCUGAUCCAGCAAUGCAGCGUGAGUGACGAAGGCCUUAGGGUUGUAAAACUCUUUCAUCGGUGAGGAUAAUGACAGUAGCCGAAGAAGAAGGACCGGCUAAUUCCGUGCCAGCAGCCGCGGUAAUACGGAAGGUCCUAGCGUUGUUCGGAAUUACUGGGCGUAAAGCGCAUGUAGGCGGAACAGAAAGUUAGAAGUGAAAUCCCUGGGCUCAACCUAGGAAUUGCUUUUAAAACUUCUGUUCUGGAAUUCAGGAGAGGAAAAUGGAAUUUCCAGUGUAGAGGUGAAAUUCGUAGAUAUUGGAAGGAACACCAGUGGCGAAGGCGAUUUUCUGGACUGAUAUUGACGCUGAGAUGCGAAGGCAUGGGUAGCAAACGGGAUUAGAUACCCCGGUAGUCCAUGCAGUAAACGAUGGGUGCUAGUCGUCGGACUUUUGUUCGGUGUCGUAGCUNACGCGUUAAGCACCCCGC